rnacentral:sRNA from 1 species
AAUGGCCGAAGUUCGACUAAGCCCGCCGCUUUGCGCGGCAACGCCGAACCACCCCCGUUGCGGGGG